CAAGGCAAGUGAUGUAGAAAAGAAAAAGAAAAUUGCAAGCUAGCUUGUGAUCUCACAUGUAAACCUAACGCUGAAGAAAAUACUCAAGGUCUGUCUGUAGCUUUCAAAAAUCUGUCCUUAACACGCAACCAGGUUUCAGCUCUUACCUUCCUCGUUUCAUUGCAUUAUGGUAAAAUAAAGGCCUUCCUCGUUUCAUUGCACAAAGAAAAUUAAGAACAAUAGAUAGCCCUAGUUUUCUCCCAGGCACGAACAUCGAGGCAGCUAUAGCAAAUCCGUUUUCUGGCGCCGGUGGAGCUGGAGCUCGCCGGCGUCGGGAUAAACUUGUUUCUUGUUGUCUCUUGUUCGCUUACCUGCUUUUCUCUGACUUCGUUCUUCUUCUUUUUCCCUUUUUUAACUUUCUGAAACUUGGAUUUUCAAGAUCUAGUCUACAUAUUUCCCUGAGUCCACGGCGACGACAGAAGAAGAGAAACCACAUGAAUCAAACCCUCUCGAUGUCGCUAUCUCUCUGGUGGGUUGUACUUUCAGCUUCAAAUAUGGAAUACUCACCAGUCAAUGCUGCUUACCGCAUCUCGGGUUCAAGCCCCGAAGACCUUCUUACCGGAGCGGCGCUGUCAAACUCGGCAGUGGUGGAAGUGGUUUCUUCACGGAGAAGCUCCCUCUCACCAAUCAACCUUUUUGCUCCGGGGAAAGCUGAAGAAGACGACCCCUUCACCCCAACCUGGCGCGUGCUAUCUACAGGCGAGGAAAACUUCAGAUCUGGACUGGAUCUAGUAACCAAGGCUGCGCAUACCUCCGACCUGUCUGAAUUAAGCCAAUCUCGGGACUGGCCCGAUGAACCGUUAAUCUUCUUGUGGUGGUUCUCGCCGGUGACACCGAGAGCUCCGGCUACAACUCGUCAUCUCCACAAAUCUGGUAUGGGCUUCUCAACACUAAAGUUGUUUGAUAAGCUUACUAAGGCCUUAUCUCCUUUCUUGGGCCUCAAGCCCAUAGACUUUUAUUGCUAUUCACCUUGUAUACGGAAGCAUCCUGCAAAAAUUAGAAACACAUUGGUCAAGAUAAAGUUCACGUAUAUGAUGUCUGAUAAACAAGGAAAAUUUAAAUGGUCUUCACCAACUCCACAACUCUGUUUUGGCUGUACCAUCUGUGACAACGUCUCGUGUAUAUCAGUAGCCACCAAGAGCAUGGAAGAGGCCACAAAAUCAGUCUAGAAUCUCACAGAGAUUCUGCUUAAGCUCAUCAAUUUCAGUCCUUUAGAUUUCUCUUUUGUGGAGAAGUCUAGUCAAACCUCCUCCUGCCAGGGCCAGGAGAGAUCAUUUUUCCAUUCCUCCUCCUUUGUGGUGCGAGCUCUACCGCCAAUUUCCCUCUCGCAAGGAGGUGAUACUUCUCUGGUUUCAAACCAGAGACCUGUUAGUGCCAUACUCUGUUUGUUUUCUUGUGUAGCGACUUGUACGGGGUCUGAAGAAACAACGGAAUUCGUUUCGACGAAAACCGAAGAUAUGAGCCAGUUAUCAAAGGCAAGACAUAUAAGACAUAUGUUGCCGUCUCUCCUGCUCUUCGUCACGUUCGAAGUUGCUUCUUCAACGCAUCCGUAUUUUUUCUUAGAUUUGCCGGAUUCGCAGUUGUCUUAUCCAAAUUCCUAUCUUGUUUCAAGCUUUUUAAUGUUUAACUUUGCUUGUAUUAUUGAACUCUACCUUUCUGGUAUCGAGCUUUAAAUUAAUGGAAGAUUUGUGCACAAAAAAAAAAAAAGGCCUUUACUGUUGAUCAACAUAUAAGUGGCCCAGGCCCAAAAUAGCAGCAAUAAGUAAUUGACCAUGCAUAAUAAACAAAACGAGAUUAGCUUUUCAAUUCGGUUCUUACAAAAUCCGAAACUUAAAAAAAAAACAAGAAUAUAAUCAGAAAUAAUCGAAUCUUUUUCUCUCUCAUGCGAUUUUGCUCUCAGGCACUUUAUCCAAAGAAAGUCCUUACCCGCCGGUUUAACUCUGCUAUCUCUGUGAUUCCCGGAAUUUUACACCUUUCAGGCUAUUAUCCACUGCUUUUCCCUGCAACUUUUCAAAAGUCUUCCUACUUUUAGAAUACCCAGCGGAUUUUAGACAUCAC
rnacentral:lncRNA from 1 species